CCAAUAUUGAGGCGCUAGUAAUGCCCAAGCAUGCUCUCUGCCUUCACAUCCUCUGCUUAGAACACUCUCUCCCUGUCCAGUCCUUGAGAGCAAGCCUAGUGUCUUACUCAUUAUUUUACACUUGGCAACUAGUACAGGUAACUGGCCUAUGAUUCCCACUAGAGUCUUCUGGGGGAGAAUCAUCAUAAUUACCUCCCUUUCACAGAUGAAGAAAUUGAGGUUCAGAAAAGUGAAGCAACUGGAACUGAACCUAAAUUGAUUAUCCCAAGGUCACAAAGUUGGACACCAAUCUUUAAUACCCCAAAGUUAUUUUGUUUUCUCUACACCAGGCCACACUACCUCCUUUUUUGCCCGAGCAAGAUCUGCCAAGCUCCCCCUUUUUCCAGGAGCCAAGCCAGCUACCAUUUAACCGCCACAUUUACACCGGAUAAGCUCCCAGAACUAAGAUGGAUACUUUGGAAUGAUUAUGUGGCUUUAAUGAUUCAGGGCUGUCUACAGAGGACCCCCUGGACCCUCACAAGACCAUUCCACACUUGGACAACUGCGUCCCAGGGGCCUUGCAAGAGAACCAGAGGAAUCCUGAGGCCUUUCAGCCAAGGGUGAGAUCACUUCUAGCCUCAGGAGGCUGCAUUGGUGGAGGAACUCUCUCGUAAUUGACUCUUGCUUCUCUCUCUAAACCAGAAUGCUCCCGGAGAGCUGUUUAUCUUGGACAUGGGCAGAUGGCCAGGUACCACCAGGCAACGGCUGGCUCCACUAAAAAUUCAUGGGUCAUAGACGCUUGCUCCAGAAUGGCAACAACCUUGGAAUUUGUGACUUCCUCUCUCCCUUGUAGCAGCUAGCACAAUUAGAAAAAGCAGUACACCUACAAUCACAGUAGCUAACAUUGAUCGAGUGCCUAUUCUAUGAUCUCAUCUUCAUGGAAACUCUAAUUAUCAUGAAUCCCAUUUUAUCGAUGAGGAAGCUAAGUCUUAGAGAUGUUAAAUGUCUUACUCAGGGGCACUCAUCACUAGGAAGCAGAAGAGCCGGGAAUCUAGGACUGCAGCUGAGGCAAAGUCUGUAGAAGGGGAAAAAAAUCAUUGUAUGGUAGUAUUAAUAGGACUAUUGACAUGAUUUUAUCUGGAACAUUCAGAUUUUUAUCAAACAAUUUUUAAAUAACAUUUAAUUAGAGGCUGGGUAUAGAAUGUGAUUAAAAAAAAAAAAACACCCGAGGUUGGGGGUUCAUUUCCAUCAUUGAAUCCAAGGCAGUAUGGAAGCUGGAAUACUCAUGCUCAGGAAUCUGUUGUUUUUCUCCAAUUUAGCUUCCGAGAAAUUUGCAGACCUGUAAGAGAUGAAAGCGAGGGACCUUUCAAAAGAUGGUUACUUCCUUUUCAACUCCAUCUUUCACAUAGCUUAAUCCUUUCUGGGAUAAAUUGGGUUUACUAUGGAAAUGUCUUCUUCUAAGAUGCAGUUUCAAAACAGAUAUUUUUGUUCCCUUGUUUAAAAAUGCAUCGUCAACAAAUUGCUUGUGUUUAUUCAACUUGUCCAAAUAAAAGCCAUAUAAGGCUCA
rnacentral:lncRNA from 1 species